rnacentral:tRNA from 2 species
GGGUGAUUAGCUCAGCUGGGAGAGCACCUCCCUUACAAGGGGGUCGGCGGUUCGAUCCCGUCAUCACCCACCA